UCAGUCCGACUCCUACGGGGAGCAGCAGUCGGGGGAAGUAUUGCACAAGUGGGACGCAAGCCUAGAGUACGCAGCCAUGCCGCGUGUGUGAAGAAGGCCUUACGGGUUGUAAAGCGACUUUACAGUCGUUGAGGAAGGGUAGUAGUAGUUAAUAGACUGCAUUAUUUGUACGUUAGCGACAGAAGAAGCACCGGCUAACUCCGUGCCAGCAGCCGCGGUAAUACGGAGGGUGCGAGCGUUAAUCGGAAUUACUGGGCGUAAAGCGCAUGCAGGUGGUUCGUUAAGUCAGAUGUGAAAGACCGGGGCGUCAACCUCGGAAUAGCAUUUGAAACUGGCAGACUAGAGUACUGUAGAGGGGGGUAGGAAUUUCAGGUGUAGCGGUGAAAUGCGUAGAGAUCUGAAGGAAUACCGGUGGCGAAGGACGCCCCCUCGGACAGAUACUGACACUCAGAUGCGAAAGCGUGGGGAGCAAACAGGAUUAGAUACCCUGGUAG
rnacentral:rRNA from 1 species